GACGAACGCUGGCGGCGUGCUUAACACAUGCAAGUCGAGCGGCGCGGCGAACGGGUGAGUAACGCGUGAGUAACUGCCCCCCUCUCUGGGAUACCAGUUGGAAACGGCUGCUAAUACCGGAUAGUGGGGGAUGACUCGCGUCCUAUCAGCUUGUUGGUGGGGUGGUGGCCUACCAAGGCGACGACGGGUAGCCGGCCUGAGAGGGCGACCGGCCACAUUGGUCUGAGGGACGGCCCAAACGCCAACGGGAGGCAGCGGUGGGGAAUAUUGCACAACGGGGGAAACCCUGAUGCAGAGACGCCGCGGGCGGGAUGACGGCCUGCGGGUUGUAAACCGCUUUCAGCCAUGACGCGGUAGUGGCAGAAGAAGCACCGGCUAACUACGUGCCAGCAGCCGCGGUAAUUC
rnacentral:rRNA from 1 species